AAACAUGACUUUGGUCUCCGUCCUCAUCUGGACUCUCCUCUGCUGCUGCUUCACAGAGUCCAGAGGCCAGAUCACAGUGACUCAGCCUGGAGCAGUGAGCUCUGCUCUGGGAGCCUCCGUCUCCAUCAGCUGUAGGGUCAGUCAGCAGGUUGGGGGUUGUAGCAGUGCUUACUGUUUACACUGGUACCAACAGAAAGAUGGAGAAACUCCUAAACUACUCAUUCGCAACACCAACGAGAGAAUGUCAGGGAUUCCAGGUCGUUUUUCUGGCAGUGGAUCUGGGACUGAUUUCACUCUGACCAUCAGUGGAGUUCAGGCUGAAGAUGCAGCAGUUUACUACUGUCAGAGUGUUCAUGUUAUCAACAGUCAAGCUGUGUUCACACAGUGA